CAGCACUAACAUCCUGACAGCGGAGGAUUGCUUGUAUGGUAUCUGAAUGCGAAAUGAGAAACUGCAACACCUGAGCCAUGGAAUAGGUGACACGGAGAAACAGGAAGAAGAGUAAGAAGAAUACCUGGUGUCAUUUGACCAACACUGGCAAGCUGAAUAAGUUAGCAGCAGUCCAUUUUUCAACUAACCCUCUAAGGAUCACUUCAUCCUGUCUUCUGCAUAUUCAGAAGAUGAUUAUUAGCACACAAACCCCAUUUAAAACUCCUUAAAAAUGAUUAUAGCUUAUAUGAUAAAUGUAUGCCACAUUAAUUUUCCUUCAUACAUCUGCAGCCCCAGAGUAAAUGAACUGCUGACCUAAAAGUAAAUAUGAAUGAAACCUUACCAUUUUAGAUUCAUAAGUAUAAAGGGCCUUUAAAAGAGGAGGCUGUGGAGUGAGUAAGCUCUGCAAAGUACGGUCAUCUUCUACCAAGCUAUCCACAAGGACCUUCAAAUAGCCACUGUUAGAAAGAUACAAAAGCCACUGCUGCUGCUUAUCCACAGAGACAAUCCGAUCAAGGAGAGCCAGGGCCAGCAUCUAAAGGAAGAAUGAAACAAAGUCCAAACAUGCUGAUGGCUACCAAAAUCAAUAAGAAUAAUUGCCUUUUUUGAAAAUAGUUACAAACUUUUCUCAUAAGAAGGUUACUUGCAAUAAAAUUUUCUUAUAUUGUU